AGAGUUUGAUCAUGGCUCAGGAUGAACGCUAGCUACAGGCUUAACACAUGCAAGUCGAGGGGAAACGAUAUUGGAAGCUUGCUUCCGAUAGGCGUCGACCGGCGCACGGGUGAGUAACGCGUAUCCAACCUGCCCACCACUUGGGGAUAACCUUGCGAAAUUAAGACUAAUACCCAAUGAUAUCUCUAGAAGACAUCUGAAAGAGAUUAAAGAUUUAUCGGUGAUGGAUGGGGACGCGUCUGAUUAGCUUGUUGGCGGGGUAACGGGCCCACCAAGGCAACGAUCAGUAGGGGUUCGUGAGAGGAAGGUCCCCCACCAUUGGAACUGAGACGCGGUCCAAACUCCUACGGGAGGCAGCA
rnacentral:rRNA from 1 species